rnacentral:rRNA from 1 species
CCUAACACAUGCAAGUCGAACGGUAACAGGAAACAGCUUGCUGUUUCGCUGACGAGUGGCGGACGGGUGAGUAAUGUCUGGGAAACUGCCUGAUGGAGGGGGAUAACUACUGGAAACGGUAGCUAAUACCGCAUAACGUCGCAAGACCAAAGAGGGGGACCUUCGGGCCUCUUGCCAUCAGAUGUGCCCAGAUGGGAUUAGCUAGUAGGUGGGGUAACGGCUCACCUAGGCGACGAUCCCUAGCUGGUCUGAGAGGAUGACCAGCCACACUGGAACUGAGACACGGUCCAGACUCCUACGGGAGGCAGCAGUGGGGAAUAUUGCACAAUGGGCGCAAGCCUGAUGCAGCCAUGCCGCGUGUAUGAAGAA